AGCGGGGUGAUCUACCCAUGGCCAGUGUGAAGCAGCAGUAAGAUGCUGUGGAGGCGCGAACCCACGUAGGUUGAAAACUGCGGGGAUGAGCUGUGGGUAGGGGUGAAAGGCCAAUCAAACUCCGUGAUAGCUGGUUCUCCCCGAAAUGCAUUUAGGUGCAGCGUCGCAUUAGCUUGGUGGAGGUAGAGCUACUGGUUGGUUGAGCGGGACUACAAUCUUAGCAAUGUCAGCCAAACUCCGAAUGCCAUUAAUGUGUUGUGCGGCAGUGAGACUGUGGGGGAUAAGCUUCAUAGUCGAGAGGGAAACAGCCCAGAUCGCCGGUUAAGGCCCCUAAGGGUGUGCUAAGUGGAAAAGGAUGUGGGAUCGCGAAGACAGCCAGGAGGUUGGCUUAGAAGCAGCCAUCCUUGAAAGAGUGCGUAAUAGCUCACUGGUCGAGUGGUUCUGCGCCGACAAUGUAGUGGGGCUCAAGCACACCGCCGAAGCCGCGGCAAUAAUAUUUUGUUAUUGGGUAGGGGAGCGUCGUGCACGUGUUGAAGCGUUACCGUGAGGAGGCGUGGAGUGUGUGCGAGUGAGAAUGCAGGCAUGAGUAACGAAUUGGAAGGUGAGAAUCCUUCCCGCCGGAUGACUAAGGGUUCCUGGGUCAAGUUCGUCUUCCCAGGGUGAGUCGGGACCUAAGGCGAGGCCGACAGGCGUAGUCGAUGGAUAACCAGUUGAUAUUCUGGUACCCGAGUAUAUGCGCCCCUGAUAAAGCACUGAUACUAACCACCGUAAGCUGUUGUGAUUGGCCUUCGGGUUAACAUGGUGGCAAGCCGUGGGGCCUGAUGUGUGGUUCAAGCGAUGGGGUGACACAGUGGGGUAGCCAUGCCGCUUAGUGGAUUGUUGGUGUAAGCGUGUAGGUGAUGGUGUAGGUAAAUCCGCACUUGUUAGCUGAGACGUGAUGCGUAGCCUUAAUUGGUGAAGUUGGUGAUCCCGUGCUGUCGAGAAAAGCCUCUAGCGAUGUAUAUACUCGGCCCGUACCCCAAACCGACACAGGUAGUCAGGUUGAAAAUACUAAGGCGUUCGGGUGAACUGUGGUUAAGGAACUCGGCAAAAUGCCCCCGUAACUUCGGGAGAAGGGGGACCCUAUGGCGUUAACACCCAUUUGCGGUGGGAAGCGUUGUGGGGUCGCAGAGAAUAGAGGGAAGCGACUGUUUAUCAAAAACACAGGUCCAUGCGAAGACGUUAAGUUGAUGUAUAUGGACUGACGCCUGCCCGGUGCUGGAAGGUUAAGAGGACCGGUUAAUCAAGCUUUGCUUGGUGAAGCUGAGAAUUUAAGCCCCAGUAAACGGCGGUGGUAACUAUAACCAUCCUAAGGUAGCGAAAUUCCUUGUCGGGUAAGUUCCGACCUGCACGAAUGGCGUAACGACUUCCCUGCUGUCUCAACCACAGGCCCGGUGAAAUUGCACUACGAGUAAAGAUGCUCGUUACGCGCGGCAGGACGAAAAGACCCCGGGACCUUCACUAUAGCUUGGUAUUGGUGUUCGGUUCGGUUUGUGUAGGAUAGGUGGGAGACUAUGAAACAUGCACGCCAGUGUGUGUGGAGUCGUUGUUGAAAUACCACUCUGAUCGGAUUGGAUACCUUAACCUUGGCCCAUGAUCUGGGUUGGGGACAGUGCCUGGUGGGUAGUUUAACUGGGGCGGUUGCCUCCCAAAAUGUAACGGAGGCGCCCAAAGGUUCCCUCAGCCUGGUUGGCAAUCAGGUGGUGAGUGUAAGUGCACAAGGGAGCUUGACUGUGAGAGUGACAGCUCGAACAGGGACGAAAGUCGGGACUAGUGAUCCGGCACCUACUUGUGGAUGUGGUGUCGCUCAACGGAUAAAAGGUACCCCGGGGAUAACAGGCUGAUCUUCCCCAAGAGUCCAUAUCGACGGGAUGGUUUGGCACCUCGAUGUCGGCUCGUCGCAUCCUGGGGCUGGAGUAGGUCCCAAGGGUUGGGCUGUUCGCCCAUUAAAGCGGCACGCGAGCUGGGUUCAGAACGUCGUGAGACAGUUCGGUCUCUAUCCGCCGCGCGCGUUGAAACUUGAAGAAGGCUGUCCCUAGUACGAGAGGACCGGGACGGACGUACCUCUAG
rnacentral:rRNA from 1 species